rnacentral:rRNA from 1 species
CCUACGGGCGACUGCAGUGAGGAAUAUUGGUCAAUGGGCGUAAGCCUGAACCAGCCAAGUCGCGUGAGGGAUGAAGGUUCUAUGGAUCGUAAACCUCUUUUAUAAGGGAAUAAAGUGUGGGACGUGUCCUAUUUUGUAUGUACCUUAUGAAUAAGGAUCGGCUAACUCCGUGCCAGCAGCCGCGGUAAUACGGAGGUACCGAGCGUUAUCCGGAUUUAGUGGGUUGAAAGGGUGCGUAGGCGGCCUUUUAAGUCAGCGGUGAAAGUCAGUGGCUCAACCAUAGAAUUGCCGUUGAAACUGGGGGGCUUGAGUAUGUUUGAGGCAGGCGGAAUGCGUUGUGUAGCGG